AUCAUGCUCCUAAUUUAUUUAAAGCAAGUAUAUUCUUUUGGAUUAAUCAUAAAAAGGUCAUAAAAUGUGGAGAUGUGCUUAUCUGAAACAUUUGAAAACUUAGCAAUUGAUUUAAAAUAAGGAGUUAAUAUGACAGAGUCUCAGCUCUGCCACUAAUUAGCUCUCAGUCUCAGAUGCAUUGUGUCACUUCCCUGAGUUUCAGUCAUAAACAGAGAGUUUUCUCAGAAGUAAUUCUAAAAUAGUGGACAUGAGAGUUACCCUGGGCCAGGGCCUCUGAGGUGCUUGGAUCCUGGGGGCACGUGUGAGCGGGCUCCGUCCCUGUCCAUAUCUCCCGGGUCUAGAGGCCAGGGAAGCAAGUGCUGCUCUGGCCUUGGACACAGCGUGGCUGAGGCUCAGCCGUAGUGCUGGCUGUUCUGUCUUCGGCCCUUCUGCCCUGGACAGACCCCCCUUGCCUUUCCACCUCUCUCCUGGAAACCACCAACACCAAGUGCUGGUUGUUGAAUAUCCUUCCUGUUCCAAAUUCGUUCUGAAAAGCCACAUCCUCCCUGCAUGAGGGGACAGGCCCAUUUCUCUGUGGGGCCUCCCAGCACCACGCAGCCCUGAUCCCUGUCAGAGCAGUGAGACCACCACACACUAGGCUGGCAGGAGAGAAAGGGGAGGAAGCCACCCUGGGGUGUGGCAGCAGAGGGUCGAUCAGAGGUCCAAGGAGGCUGCGCAGAGCAGAAAGAACAGAGAUGGACUUGCCCAUUUGGAAGGGACACGAAAGUGUGAUCCUGUGAAGCAUUGAAAAAAGAGCGGUCUGUGCAAAUGGCAGGCCCAAGCUGACCAGAAGACUGGGUCCAGCCACAAUUAAAGGCAGGCUGGGCAGGCAGCAGCUGAGGCCCGUGCCCGAGAGCUAUUUCAAUUGCAGUCUGCAGAAGGGUCUGCUGGCCUGACAGCCAGCUCACCAGGCCGUGUGUCCACAAGGGAAAUAAUAGCACAGUCGCACUGCUUUGGGCUGCAGAGAGGACAAUGGCCCCCAGUGAAAGGAGUUAACCAUUCUGGAAGGGGACAAGCAGCCACACGUGGCAAUUCAAGAUCUUUUGGACGCCGUGAGCGUGCUCUUUAAUGGAGCCGCUCUCCUUCAGCUCAGCCUGCAGAAGCGCACCUGCUUCCCAUCUGCCACCCGGCACAGCCAGCACCAGAUGACUUCACACUGUCACUUUCAGAGUUUUGCUGUGGCCCACCGUGAUUUUUCAAGAGAGGAUGCCACAGACUGGCUCGUUUUCUUCUCUUUCUGUCUUGCUCUGGAAGAUUCUAUAAAAAUCACAUUAAAAAGUGUGUGAGCCAAGCUCUUUCAUGCAUCAAAGGGAGAAGGUCAUAAAUGGUAUUCAUUCCAAGAAUCUCAAGCGUGCACCAGCCCUGGAUGCGGGGCGCGAAGCCCAGAGGCCCAUCGGUCAACAUCAUCUCCAUUGUAUUCCCCACGCUGUGUCUGUGCCUGCAAGCUGGGGACAGAGCACUCUCCUCUACCAGAAGAAGGUCACUGUCUGCAGCGGUGUGCAACACAGGGCCAUGCAGUGCCAUGCCACCCGGUCAUCAUGCCCACAGCCAGCUCCGUUCAGUGUUGGUGUGGCAGUCCUCCAUUUAGGGGGUGUGGGGCAUAUUCUGUUCUGUGAGCUGGUCUCAGAUGGGCCAGGCCCACCUCCUGCUGUCAGUCCCCCAAGUUGGGUCUCUGCCAGAAGCUGAUGGGGCACACGGGAGGCCCUCCCUCCGCUCCUCUCGGGUGGAGCUUCAGGGAAGAGCUGCCAUAUUGGCCCAUUUCCCUCUCCCAGGUGCCGGCCUCUUCGUGACCUUGGGGAGCCUGAGAGCAACGCCAUCCAGGGUCCCUUCCUCGCCUGCUGUGGCGCAAAGCAGGUUGUGUGGCGGUACUCAAGAACAUCCGCAGGGCGAUCCUGAAGAGGAGCGCUUGGAGUGAUCGGCAGACAUCAGGAGGAGAUUGGAGCACACUGUCCUUCCCUCUUCUUCUGCUGGUAUCUAAGAGAUGAAGUGAAAUGACAUGAAUAAACAGGCAUUUAUCACUCACCACAGCCAUGACGUUGGCAAUCUGAGGUGUAACAGCAAAGCUAGCACAAAUGUUACUCUCUUCACAAUUUUACAAGUAGAAAAUUUGCACUCACCAUAGAUUUUGGAAAUCUUAUCAUACUUUUUUUUUUCUUUUCUCAGUAGUGAACUUUUCACUGAAAAGAUGUAUGUUACUGCUUCUCUUUGGCAUAUCUGAAUUCCAGCAUCACUAUUCUUGUGGUUUGAAGCCAUUAUUAUGGAAAAUAAGGCCACCUGAGCACCAGCAGUCUGACAGCUGACAUGGCUACAGAAUGACUAAGAGGUGGAUAGCAUAUACAGUGUGGACAUGCUUGACAAAGGGCUCAUCACAUCCAGGUGCAGCAGGCGGAUAAUGAUCAUAAUACCAUGCACUGUAAAACAUACACAUUAUCUAUUUUUGGAAUUUUUCAUUUAAUAUUUUUGGACUGUGUUUAACUGCAGGUAAUUGAACACAUGGAAUGUCCAUUAUCAGAUAAAUGGACACUACUGUGGAUAAAUCAUUUGUUUAAUCCUUUCUUCCAUCAUUUAUUUUUGAUUGGAGUGUUUAAUUCAUCUGUAUUAAAUGUAAUUACUGAUAAGGUGAGAUCUGUGUCUGCAAUU